rnacentral:rRNA from 1 species
AUUGAACGCUGGCGGCAUGCCUUACACAUGCAAGUCGAACGGUAACGCGGGGCAACCUGGCGACGAGUGGCGAACGGGUGAGUAAUGUAUCGGAACGUGCCCAGUUGUGGGGAUAACUGCUCGAAAGAGCAGCUAAUACCGCAUACGACCUGAGGGUGAAAGCGGGGAUCGCAAGACCCGCGCAAUUGGAGCGGCCGAUAUCAGAUUAGGUAGUUGGUGGGGUAAAGGCCCACCAAGCCAACGAUCUGUAGCUGGUCUGAGAGGACGACCAGCCACACUGGGACUGAGACACGGCCCAGACUCCUACGGGAGGCAGCAGUGGGGAAUUUUGGACAAUGGACGCAAGUCUGAUCCAGCCAUGCCGCGUGCGGGAAGAAGGCCUCGGGUUGUAAACCGCUUUUGUCAGGGAAGAAACGCUCUGGGUUAAUACCUCGGGGUAAUGACGGUACCUGAAGAAUAAGCACCGGCUUACUACGUGCCAGCAGCCGCGGUAAUACGUAGGGUGCAAGCGUUAAUCGGAAUUACUGGGCGUAAAGCGUGCGCAGGCGGUUAUGCAAGACAGAGGUGAAAUCCCGGGCUCAACCUGGGAACUGCCUUUGUGACUGCAUAGCUAGAGUACGGCAGAGGGGGAUGGAAUUCCGCGUGUAGCAGUGAAAUGCGUAGAUAUGCGGAGGAACACCGAUGGCGAAGGCAAUCCCCUGGGCCUGUACUGACGCUCAUGCACG